rnacentral:rRNA from 1 species
GAUGAACGCUGGCGGCGUGCCUAAUACAUGCAAGUCGAGCGAACAGACGAGGAUCUUGCUCCUCUCACGUUAGCGGCGGACGGGUGAGUAACACGUGGAUAACCUACCUAUAAGUCUGGUAUAACUUCGGGAAACCGGAGCUAAUACCGGAUAAUAUAUUGAACCGCAUGGGUCAAUAGUGAAAGACGGUUUUGCUGUCUCUUAUCGAUGGUUCCGCGCCGCAUUAUCUAGUUUGUAAGGUAACGGCUUACCAAGGCGACGAUGCGUAGCCGACCUGCGAGGGUGAUCGGCCACACUGGAACUGAGACACGGUACAGGCUCCUACGGGAGGCAGAAGGAGGUAAUCGUGCGCGAAGGGCGGAAGACUGACGGAGCAACGGCGGGUGGGUGAUGAAGGUCUGCGUGUCGUAAAACGCUGUUAUUAGGGAAGAACAAAUGUGUAAGUAACUAUGCGCGUCUUGACGGUAUCUAAACAGAAAGCCACGGCUAACUACGU